UUUUGGACAAUGGGGGCAACCCUGAUCCAGCAAUGCCGCGUGAGUGAAGAAGGCCUUCGGGUUGUAAAGCUCUUUUGUCAGGGAAGAAACAGCAGCUCUAACACAGUCUGCGAAUGACGGUACCUGAAGAAUAAGCACCGGCUAACUACGUGCCAGCAGCCGCGGUAAUACGUAGGGUGCGAGCGUUAAUCGGAAUUACUGGGCGUAAAGCGUGCGCAGGCGGUUAUACAAGACAGGCGUGAAAUCCCCGGGCUUAACCUGGGAAUGGCGCCUGUGACUGUAUAGCUAGAGUGUGUCAGAGGGGGGUAGAAUUCCACGUGUAGCAGUGAAAUGCGUAGAUAUGUGGAGGAAUACCAAUGGCGAAGGCAGCCCCCUGGGAUAACGCUGACGCUCAUGCACGAA
rnacentral:rRNA from 1 species